rnacentral:lncRNA from 1 species
CUUUUUAGGGCCGCAUCCACAGCACAUGGAAGUUCCCAGACUAGGGAUUGAAGCUGAGUUGCAGCUGCGGCUACACCACAGCCACAGCAACAUGGGAUCCGAGCCGCAUCUGUGACCUACACCACAGCUCAUGGCAACCCCAGAUCCUUAACCCACUGAGCAAGGCCAGGGAUCAAACCCGAGUCCUCAUGGAUCCUAGUUGGGUUCAUUACUGCUGAGCCACACUGGGAACUCCUCUAUGAUUUUUAUUUUAGUAGUUUUGGCAGGUGUUUAGUGGCAUCUCAUUGUGGUUUAAUUUUGCACUCUCCUGAUGACUGACUAACAAUGUUUUCAUGUGUUGAUAGGCCGUAUGGGGAACCUCUUUUGUGAUGGGGCUGUUCAAAAUGUCUUGCCCAUUUUCCACCAGUUGCCUCUCUUUUUCUUAUUGAUUCAUAGAAGUUCUUUGUAUAUUAUGGCUAAGAGACCUUCAUCAGGUACACAUUUUGUCAAGUACUCACUGAAGGAUUCAGCACCAGGGACUGAUAUGGGUGAACUGUGUUUCUAAAAGCUUCCCCUGGCUGUGGAUGCAGAGCAGACUGACCAUGAGAUGGGCAAGGGGGGGGUGAUGGUGGAGGUGACCAGGGCAGCAGCUGUGCGGCUGGACAGCAGGGGCCAGAGUCUAAGCUACUUCAGCAGCAGCAUGGACAAGCAACAUCUGUCAUGCCAUGUCAUGACGAAAACAAGACAUGUGUAGUGACAGAGAGAGGGGGUGACAGGGCUGGCUUCCAGGUCUCCCUGGCUGGCGGACAAGCUGACGCAUUCUGCCCACCCAGCCGCCGGCAGCCAAAGGCUGCUUUGUCCUCCCAGGCCCCACCCAGGCCUGCUGGUCAGGGAUGCUCUGGGGUCACCGUCGGGACACUGGAGAGAGUGCCCAGUGUAGAAUCUGGGUCUCCCAUGGCAACUGGGGGAUAAACACCCCCCAACACACACUCACAAAUGGCUGGGCUGGUUCAAGAAGACCCUGUACCCCAGAUGGGUUGGCAGCUGUGGGAUCAGGGCCCAGUCUGGGUGGACAAUGACCCCCUUUCUGCAGCCUUUUCAUCCCUGCUGAGCCCAGGCUCAGGGGAUGAGGGUCCUAGGCUGGUCCCUGAGGAAAGAGUGGAAACAGAUCCUGCAGUGUCUGGGCUUCCGAUGAGCGGUGGGGACAGCACUCUGAAUGCCUCCCAGAAAGCCAGGACCCUCCCUGCCCUGCACCCUGCCCCAUCUGUAGCCCCGGUUAAUUUCUUGACAAAUGCCCCACCCCGCCUCUGUUUCUCAGGGUUUACUUGGGAUAGUCUCCCACCCUCUGCAUCUUGCAGCACUGGGUUCAGCGAUCACAGCAUUUCCCCGGUGGUGCGGUAAUUAAACCUGACAAACUCUUUCCUUCUGUUACACGAGGCAUGCAGCCCUCACCAUGUGCCGCGCUGUGUCAGUUGCUUUGCAUAUGUGAUGCCAAUCACUCCUCCAAGGACCUCUCAUGAAAGCAUUCAUUACAUUUUAUACCCGAGGACCCUGACUUGCCCAAGUUCACACAGCCAGAGUUGUGGAGGAGGUAGGAUCUGAACUUGGCCAGUUGGACCCUGAAGCCCCGUUCCUCUGUGUCCCCGGCCACUGGGGGGACACUGUGUCCCCGGCCGCUGUGCGUGGGAAGGGGCCUGGCUCGUCUGUGCUUCUAGAGGAGGGGGGAGUCCUGAGAGCACUCGGGUUCAUACCCUGGCUCUGCCCUACCUCACGGGGUGACCUUGGAUGAGUCACUUUUCUUUGGGCCUCCACGUCCCCAUCUGAGCAAUGGGGUCAUCCCUAUGCAGUCUUGUUCCCCGGGAUCAGCAGAGCCAGGCCAGGGAGCGCAGGCAGAGCUGAGCCCAGGUGGAAGGGGCCGUUUGCCUCUGUCACAUGCUACUUGUUUGGCUCCUUCCUGUGCCUAAGCUGACCUUUUCUGUUCCUUUUUUGGUGUCAGGGAAGCAUCAGAUGGCUUCCCCACCACAGCUCUCUCCAGCCUGCACUUUUCCCAGCUUAAUCAGCCUCCAGCUGCCCAAGUGUCCCAGGCGGGCCCUGGGUUCCGGCCAACGGUGGCCGCCCCCAUCCCAGGGCUCCAGGCCUGGCCAGAUGGGCAGCUGGUACUGGAAAUAGCCUUGAUGGGAGAUGUCCCCCCUCUUUCCGGUACUCAACCACUUCCUCUCUGACAGAGCACACUGUCUCCAGAAGGUUCUGCUGGACUGAGGACAUGCCCGGGACCCUUGUCUGUUGUCCUGCAGUAGCAGUCACCCGGGGCUUCCUCCUUGGCAUCCAGGCCCUUUCCUCCCUCCUGACAGGACCCCGCAGUCCCCAGCCCUUGGCCGGGUGGGGUUGACACCCCCUCAGCUCCAAGUGGGCCUUGAUUGGUUUAGGUCCAUUUCGACAAGUCAUCCCAUGGCUGCUGGGAUUGGUUCAGGGAUAGACACGUGACUCGAGUCAGGCCAAUCACAACGACAGUCUUUCCUUGAGGUCUCCUGGAGGUAAAGAGAAGCAGGGAGACCCAGACCUGACGGGAGGGACAUACUGAGACACCACCCCGCCCCCAGCCCCAGGGGAGACCCAGCCUAGGAAAAGAGUGGGAACACAGAGCCCAGAGAUGGAGGCAGAGAAACCAGGUCUAGGCAGCUUAUUCGCAUGGCUAUAUCAAGCUUUGCUGGAAACUUCAAACAAACAAAUAAACAAACAAAAAAACCCCAAAACUUGCUUUUCAGUUACUACCAGCCCAUAGAUUUUAGGGGUUGCCUUUGCUCUUUUUUUCUUUUUACAGCUGCACUUGCAGCGUGUGGAAGUGCCUGGGGAGGGGUAGAAUCAGAACUGCAGGUGCAGCCUACACCACAGCCACAACACGACCCUAUCGGAGCCACAUCUGCAAACUACACUGCGGCUUGUGGCAAUACCGGAUCCUCAACCCACUGAGGGAGACCAGGGAUCAAACCUGCAUCUUCACAGAGAAAACACUGGGUCCUUGACCCGCUGAGCCACAACGGGAACUCGGAUUUUAGUUUUUAAAAACCACCUUAAGUUGAGUUUUCUGUUCCUAGGAACCCAGAAAUCCUGAACAAGACCUGUUAAUGUACGAGGGCCAGGCCUCGAGUCCUCUUCCUGCAGGUCCCUGUCACAGGAUGGAGCCCAGGGCGGGCGGAGCACCUGUCCUCACCCCAGGCAAUGCCUGUGUGGAAAUAGGACCAAAACCCAUCCUUGGUUCAUCCUUAGUCUCAGAGCCAGAAGACCACCUAGAGGCCUUAAGUUUAAGGCCCCUUUUUCAGAUGGGAGCACUGAGGCUCGCCACUGUCCCUCCUUUCCCAUUCUACUGGCUUCAUGCCCAAAGCCUCAGGCAGAUGGGAGGAGCCGAGGACCCAGCUGUGCCCAGAGUCCCGAGGCCUCUCCUGCCCCAACUCCAGUUCAUUUGAGGAUGAAGGCUGUAUGCCCUGUUGCUAAAACGAGAGUGGGUCUGGCUUGUGCACGGAAGAGAAAUAGCUCUCACUGGGGUACUCUCCGUAGCCCUCAGGGUCAAGUCCAACCCUUUAGCCUGACCUCCUAGAUCCAAUCCCCUGUACUUUUCUCCUUCAUCCCCUCUGCUCCUCCCUUGAGGCAAGCAGGGGAACUCUGUAGUAACUGUACAGGCUUCGUCUCUGCAGAAAUGAAUAUGGAUAUUGCUGAGCCAAAGGGUUGAGUCACUUGAAAUUCAAGACCAUGAAUCUCUAGUCCGCCGUUGGUGUUUGUUCCAAUUAGCUAUUUCUGAGUCAUAAAGGCCCAAGACAACAAUCAUCUUAUUAUCUCUUAUGGAUUCUGUAGGUCGUGGAUUUGAGAGGGGUUUAGCUGGCUUGUUCAGGGUCUCACAGGGUGGCAGUCAGAUGGUGGCUGCGGCUGGAGUACCUGAGCCCUGGCUGGACAGCUCCCUCCCUCCAGCCUCUCCAUGUGGUCUCUGCAAGGGCUAGCUUGGGCUUCCUCACAGCAUGGCAGCUCAGGACGCCAGCAUGAAUGUUCUACAGGACGGAAGCUUUUCUCACGCAGCUUCAGAAGUGGUGCACUGUCAAUUCCACCCAUUCCAUGGGUGAUGAGCCCGUCACAAGCCUGCCCAGGAUUGGACAGAAAUUAGACUCCACUUCUUAGUGGAGGAGUGGAAGGUUCUAGAAGAACUUCUGGGGUGGGAGAUGUUCCACCUUGGGAAAAUGCAAUCUGCCAGAGUGUCGAGGGGCCAUCCUGCCACGUGUCUCUUGGCCAGUUGUUUUCCCCUCCAUAUACUCAGAGAGGGCUCUUUCGCACCUUCUCCUCCCUCUGCAAACCUGGUCUUGCUGCUUUCUCAUGGGAAUAACAAGGAAUCAUGGGAGAACUCCCGGUGCUGGGCCCUGGGUCUUCUGGAUGGAGUGUCUGAGAGUGUCCCUCAGCCUCCCCUGUCACUGGUGCCCUGGACCCCAUUCCUCUCGAACCACCGUUUCCGCUCUCUGGGGCUGCUCUUCAGUGGAGAGUGUUCGAUUCUACUCCCAUCUUCAAAACACAACAGAAAAUGAACCAAACCCCCAAACAACCCUGUCUUCACCUCACCGCUCACGGCCUCUGCUCCCAGGUUAACCCGAGCAUUUGCAAGGCCUGGGAUAAGGGCCCAGCCCUGGCCCUGGUCCCCAGCCUAGCCCCUUCCUGUCUCACUCUUGAGUCUGCCCACACCUUGGAUGGCUUUGAGCACCUGUGUGCGAACAAACCAGUCCAGACCAAGCUCUGCUCACUGCCCCCCACCCCCACUCCCACAGGAAACAGUUGCC